GAGUUUGAUCUUGGCUCAGAUUGAACGCUGGCGGCAUGCCUUACACAUGCAAGUCGAACGGCAGCACGGGAGCUUGCUCCUGGUGGCGAGUAGCGAACGGGUGAGUAAUGCAUCGGAACGUAUCCUGGAGUGGGGGAUAACGUAGCGAAAGUUACGCUAAUACCGCAUAUUCUGUGAGCAGGAAAGCGGGGGACCUUCGGGCCUCGCGCUCUUGGAGCGGCCGAUGUCGGAUUAGCUAGUUGGUGAGGUAAAGGCUCACCAAGGCGACGAUCCGUAGCAGGUCUGAGAGGAUGAUCUGCCACACUGGAACUGAGACACGGUCCAGACUCCUACGGGAGGCAGCAGUGGGGAAUUUUGGACAAUGGGGGCAACCCUGAUCCAGCCAUGCCGCGUGAGUGAAGAAGGCCU
rnacentral:rRNA from 1 species